rnacentral:tRNA from 1 species
UAGAAGAUAGUGUAAUGGAAGCACGGGGAGUUUUGAUCUCCUUGGUGUGGGUUCAAUGCCCAUUCUUUUAA